rnacentral:rRNA from 1 species
UACAGAGGGUGCAAGCGUUAAUCGGAGUUACUGGGCGUAAAGGGCGCGUAGGUGGUUAUGUAAGUGAGAUGUGAAAUCCCUGGGCUUAACCUAGGAACUGCAUCUUAUACUGCAUAACUGGAGUACUGUAGAGGGUAGUGGAAUUUCCGGUGUAGCGGUGGAAUGCGUAGAGAUCCGGAAGAACACCCAGUGGGCGAAGGCGGCCCGGCUGGGCAGUGGCUGACGC